GCUCCUAUAGGUAAACGGAUAUACCGAUUCCCUCCUAAGGAAUAAUUCUCGGUUCGAUUCCGGGUGGGAGCA
rnacentral:tRNA from 1 species